rnacentral:rRNA from 1 species
AACCCUUCGGGCGAAGAUAAGACGGAUUAGCGGCGGACGGGUGAGUAACACGUGAGUAACCUGCCUUUUACACAGGGAUAGCCUCGGGAAACCGGGAUUAAAACCUGAUGAAACUAUCAAAUCACAUGAUUAAGAAAGUUAAAACUCCGGUGGUAAAAGAUGGACUCGCGUCCCAUUAGCUAGUUGGUGAAGGUAACGGCCCACCAAGGCAACGAUGGGUAGCCGGCCUGAGAGGGUGAACGGCCACAUUGGAACUGAGAAACGGUCCAAACUCCUACGGGAGGCAGCAGUC